CCCGGGUCUCCCGCAGGCACCACAGUUCCUGCACCUUCUCGAAAGAACUGCACUUCUUUGGCCUCUCUCUCUCUCUCUAUUUUAUUUUAUUAUUUUUUUUACAAGCAAAGCAUGGUGGCUAUUUCCUCCCCAUUUGGAAGAGCGGGAAACUGAAAGCUGGAGAGAGACCUGGAGGCCGGUUGGGACCCCCCAGUAGGGGGGAUCCGGCUGGGCUGGACCUGCCAGCCUCCUAUCAGGAGCUGAUCUCGGAGCCAGGGGACCAAGGGGCUGGGGGGUGGCGGAGUCCCCGGAGGUCACCCACCCUCGCUCCCAUGCCCAGAGAGGGUGGAGAACAGACAGAAGAUUCCAGCACAGCCUGCUCCCGACAAGGAUGCCCGCAGCCGCGUGUGAAGCUGCCUCCCUGGGGCUCCAGUGUGAGUCACCCGCACACCUGCACCCCGCCGGUGAUGGCCCGGUCUCCCCCUCCACCGGGAGCCCCCAGGCCCGGCGGCUCCUCCAAGGCCCUCGCCUCAUCUCUAACACCGCUGAGACGGUCUCUAACCCGGAGGCCAGCCGUGGG
rnacentral:lncRNA from 1 species